rnacentral:misc_RNA from 1 species
GAGGCUGGUCUAAAAAAUAGUGUAAAAUACAGCUGCAUGUGUGUGUGUGUGCAUGCUGCAUUCAGUCCUCAGUCGUGUGAUAAGAGGAUAACAAAAUAGUAUGGUAAUAAACCAAUAUGGGAAGUGGAGACACGGCAACUGUAAUAAAUAAGAUAUCGAGUGACAGUGGCAAUGAAAUUAUCGAAGAGUACGGCCCGAAUUUAAGAGUAUUACCAACAAAUAACCAGGUCAAAGAAUUGCAAACUAUAUUACGUGACAAGAACACAACGAGAAGCGAUUUUAAAUUCUACGCAGACCGUUUGAUCAGACUUGUCAUAGAAGAAAGCCUCAAUCAAUUACCAUUUUCAAAAUGUUCCGUGACAACGCCGACAGGUGCCAAGUACAAGGGACUCAAAUAUCAAAAAGGCAAUUGUGGCGUGUCUAUAGUUAGAAGUGGCGAAGCUAUGGAACAGGGUCUCAGGGACUGUUGCCGUAGUAUAAGAAUUGGUAAAAUAUUGGUCGAAAGUGAUGUUGACACUCAUGAGGCUAAAGUUGUCUAUGCUAAAUUUCCAGACGAUAUAGCCGAAAGAAAGGUUCUCUUAAUGUAUCCGAUAAUGAGUACCGGAAAUACUGUGAUAAAAGCGAUAGCUGUGUUAAAAGAACACAAUGUGUUGGAGGAAAAUAUCAUCCUCUCUAAUUUAUUCUGUACACCAUUUGCUGCCAAAACUCUAGUCACUGCCUUCCCUAAGGUAUGUAAUUCACAUCAGUUAUAGGCACAGAUGAAGAUCUUAUCCUCGGAAAUUCACCACGUCGCGCCGAAUCACUUUGGGCAAAAGUACUUUGGCUGUUCAUACCAUGGUGUGACGGGCCCUCCUAA